GGCCCGGUGGUGUAACGGAUGUGCACGCCUGUUUAUCAUGUGGACUGCUACUCCGUACUCUUACAUCGUUGACAGGAAGUCCCAGUUCGAUUCUGGGUCGGGCCG